rnacentral:lncRNA from 1 species
AUAACUUGGGCAUGACUUGACCUGAGACGGCCUGCCUACCUUUUUGAGCCUUUCGUUUUAACUUCCUGGAGCUCCGAUUUCUCCUUCUCAGUUGUGCCUGGAACCUCAGCGAGGCAGAAUCAUUCACUCCCCUGGAAAGGGGGCUAAAGCCAGGGAGCCAAGUGGUCUCGCUCAGCAGGUCCCACUUUCCUGGAGCCCAGCGAGCAAACAACAACUGGCUUGAAAUUCUCACUGCCAGCGCAGCAGUCUGAAGUGGACGUGAGACAAUCAAGCUUGGUGGGUGGGAGGGGCAUCUGCCAUUACUGAGGCUUGAGUAGGCGAUUUUUCCCCUGACAGUGCUAAGGAGGCCAGGAAGUUCAAACUUGGCAGAAUUCACCACAGUGCAGCAAAGUAUCUGUGGCCAGUCUGCCUCUCUAGAUUCUUCUCACUGGGCAAGGCAUCUCUGAAAAAAAGGCAGCAGCCCCAGUCAGGGGCUUAUAGAUAAAACUCCCAUCUCCCUGGGUCAGAGAACCUGGGGGAAGGGGCAGCUGUGGGUGCAACUUGAGCAGACUUAAACAUUCCUGCCUGCCGGUUCUGAAGAGAGGAGCAGAUCUCCCAGCACAGUGUUCGAGCUCUGCUAAGGGACAAACUGCCUCCUCAAGUGGGUCCCUGACCCCCAUAUGCCUCCUGACUGGGAGACAGCUCUUAGCAGGGGUUGACAGACACCUCAUAGAGGAGAGCUCUGGCUGGCAUCAGGCCAGUGCCCCUCUGGGACAAAGCUUCCUGAAAAAGGAGCAGGUGGCAGUCUUUGCUCUUCUGCAGCCUACAUGGGUGAUAUCCAAGCAAACAGGGUCUGGAGUGGACCUCAACUACAGCAGGCCUGCAGAAGAGGAGCCUGACUGUUAGAAGAAAAACUAACAAACAGAAAGCAAUAACAUCAACAUCAACAAGAAGGACCCCCACAUGAAAACCCCAUCCAAAGGUCAUCAGCCUCAAAGAUCAAAGGUAGAUAAAUCCAUGAAGAUGAGAAAAAAAACAAUGCAAAAAUGCUGAAAAUUCCAAAAACCAGAAUGCCUCGUCUCCAAAUGAUCACAACUGGUCUCUAGCAAACCUAGAUGACGGAUUGAUAGGUGCAGCAAACCACCAUGGCAUAUGUAUACCUAUGUAACAAACCUGCACAUUCUACACAUUUAUCCCAGAACUUAAAAGUAAAAAUAUAAUAAAUAAGAUUAAAUUAAAUUUAAAAAGAUACUUCCAUAUGCAUGUUUAUAGCAGCACAAUUCACAAUUGCAAAAAUGUGGAACCAACCCAAGUGCCCAUCAAUCAACGAGUGGAUAAAGAACCUGUGGUAUUAUAUGUAUAUGAUGGAAUACCACUCACUCACAGAAGGGAAUGAAUUAACGGCAUUUGCAGUGACCUGGAUGAGAUUGGAGACAAUUAUUCUAAAUGAAGUAGCUCAGGAAUGGAAAACCAAGCAUCAUAUGUUCUCACGCAUUAGUAGGAGCUAAGCUAUGAGGAUGCAAAGGCAUAGGAAUGGCACAAUGGACUUUGGGGACUCAGGGGAAAAGGGUGGGAAGUGGGUAAGGGAUAAAAGACUACAAAUAGGAUGCAGUCUAUACUGCUCGGUGAUGAGUGCACCAAAAUCUCACCAAAUCACCACUAAAGAACUACCCAUGUAACCAAACACCACCUGUUCCCCAAUAACCUAUGGAAAUUAAAAAAAAAAAAAAAAAGUUUAAUUUCAUUUACUGCCACCUAUUUUGUUGUUGUCAUUGUUGUUAAAUAAUUUACUAAUACAUAUAAGUGCUCGAACAUAUUGCCAUUAAUUUUGUUUUAUGAGGUCAGUUAACUUACAGGAUACUUGAGAAAAACUAAUUAUAUUUCUCUUACAGUUACCAGUCUACCUUUCUGCAUUCUUUCCUGUAGAAGCAGUUUCCCAUCUGAUACUGUUUCCCUCAGUAAAAAGAACAUCCUUCAGCAUUUCUUACAGUGUGGACCUGCUGGCAACACAUUCAUUCAGCUUUUACUAACCUGGAAAUAUUUUUAUUUUGCUUCAUUUUUUAAAAUUAAGUUUUUAAUUUGGUAUAAUUGUAAGUUCACAUGUUACCAUAAGGAAUAACACCAAGAGAUCCCAUGUUUCCUGUCCCAGUUUACCCCAAUGGCGAUGUCUUGUAAAACUGUAACACAAUAUUACAACCAAGAUAUUGAUAAUGAUACAAUCAAAAUACAGAAGAGCUCCAUUAUCACAGGGAUCCCUAUGAUAGAGGAAGCCACACCCACCUUCUACCUCUCCCCCAUUCUUGAUUCCUG